rnacentral:lncRNA from 1 species
AACAGGAAAUUCUGGUGACUGGUAUAAAGGUUGUGGAUCUGCUGGCCCCAUACGCCAAGGGUGGGAAAAUCGGUAUGUUGGUUAUUGGUACAUGUUUUCCAAAUACAAUAAAGAAUGGAAGCUUUGGAUGUGUUUUGACAACCUUCCUUGAUGAUUAGCUUCUGACUUUCGUUCUUCUGAAUUUGCUGAAGCCAGAUGCCAUUCCUGAGAAGGGGAAAAUGGACAGAACUGAACAUUUUUUUUGAAGGCUGUUUAAUUUCGGAAUGCAGAGAUCUGAAGUACUUUUUCUUAACCUAGGACUCUUCGGAGGUGCUGGUGUUGGAAAGACAGUACUGAUCAUGGAGCUAAUCAACAAUGUUGCUAAAGCCCAUGGUGGUUAUUCUGUAUUUGCUGGUGUUGGUGAGAGGACCCGUGAGGGCAAUGAUUUAUACCAUGAAAUGAUUGAGUCUGGUGUUAUCAACCUAAAAGAUGCCACUUCCAAGGUGAGCUGUGAGUUGUUGAUGGAUAUCCACCUAUUCAUAAAACUAGUGUGUUACAUUUGAUACAAAGUGCCCCAGUUCUGUAAACAAAGUACUUGGCUUUCCCACCAUCAUUUUCUCGAAUACCAAUGUACAUUUUUUUCGUUGGUGUGAUAUAUAGACCUUUUUUUUUCAAUAAGUAACCCAGUUGUUUGAAAGCUGAUUUGAAGGUAUAGAAUGGAAGCUACUUACAUAGGCAGUCUUAUUUU